rnacentral:lncRNA from 1 species
AAUUGUAAGCCAGGCUGCGAAGCAGGAGGGGAGAUUCCAGGCAGAGGAAACUGCUUGGGGUAAAGAAAACAAAAAACGCAACCCCCCCAGCAUGAUGCAGAUGCUGUGGCUCAAAGGAUUAAUUAAUUUGCUUAAGAUAAUGCAACAUGAGAAAAGCAGAUCAGGACGGAAUUCCAGAACAAGGAUUUUGCUUGAAAUAACAUCACUACUAAUUGUCUCUCUGCACCUCCUGGCUCAUUUCUCUACUCCCACACCUUCCCUGCUGACCCUAGUCAAGGAGCUGUGAACAUACAAAUAGUGCCUGA